GCGCCAAGGAAUGUUCGUAUUUGCAUUAAGUGACAGUGAAAAGUCGGCUAUCCACACAGACGCUGGUAUACGGGCAGUAGAGCUACGUUUACUGAGUGCUUUAAGUACCUCAGCUGUGACAACUACAACCAGCGAUCAACUGGAUCCUAAGGCAGCACAUGCAUGUGGCAGACAUGCAACGACAUUCUACAAGGAAUCCAGUUCAUAAUUCUAUAAGAUUGUACAUGUACAAGAAUAAAAAUAAAUGAUAAUUAAAUGUU